GUGAAGAUAUGGUUCACCUAACCCCACCACCUAAUGUUGUGAGUUGAUGGGAGUGAGGUUGACACAAUAAGGUCUUCCCUUCCUUUGGCAGAGGCAUGGUCUUUCUUCCUACCCCUUCAUUAUGUACACUCUACCAUUUUCAAAUAAAGGGGGGGCAGCUCACGUUUUUUGGAGGAUUCCAGCAGCAGCAGAAGGUAGAGCUCUCGUUUUAGCAAAAGGGUGGUGGUUAUUCAUUAGAUUUUUCCCCUCUCUCUUGGAAGGUGAUUUGCAAGUCAUGGAGGCUGUUCCUGAGCCUGAAAAACACCCAUAAAUUCGAAGAAGAAGCUGCUGAAACGAAGAAGAAGAAGCUGGACAGAUUUCGGCCAAAGAAGGGGAGUAUUCUUCCGGUUUAUUUUCUUGUUUUUUGCCUUGAAUCUUGUUUGUUGAUUGUUGUUUUGGUUGUUUGAACUCCUAGGAUCCCAAACAAACUGGUAUCAGAGCUAGGAGGAGUGAUAUUAGUCCAAAAAUCGAUCAAAAACCAGCAAGAAAUCACCAUUUCCACAUUCUAACCGAAUCUGAAAAACUUGAUUUCCGGCCAACCGAUUGACUUUCCGGCGAAAUGGACCAUGGAACCAUGACCAGCAGGAGGAGGCGCACCUAGUAAGGCGGCGGCGCGUGCCGGACCUCCGGCGAGCUUUUUUCGGGCAGUUUACUCAUUUUGACGUCCUGAACGCAC
rnacentral:lncRNA from 1 species